AGUGAACGCUGGCGGCGUGCCUAAUACAUGCAAGUCGAACGGAGUGGCGCGCGGGUGAGUAAUGUAUAGCUAAUCUUCCCCCCACUAGAGGACAACAGUUGGAAAAGACUGCUAAUACUCUCUCGUGUAGGAUGAGGGGAUAUUGUAUCAGCUAGUUGGUGAGGUAAUGGCUCACCAAGGCUAUGACGCAUAACUGGUCUGAGAGGAUGAGCAGUAACACUGGAACGGAGACACGGUCCAGACUCCUACGGGAGGCAGCAGUAGGGAAUAUUGCCCAAUGGGGGAAACUCUGAAGCAGCAACGCCGCGUGGAGGAUGACACUUUUCGGAGCGUAAACUCCUUUUGUUAGGGAAGCGGUACCUAACGAAUAAGCACCGGCUAACUCCGUGCCAGCCGCCGCGGUAAUUC
rnacentral:rRNA from 1 species